GACAUAGGUGGCGACCGUUAUCCGGAUUUACUGGGCGUAAAGGGCGCGUAGGCGGCCAGCACAAGUCAGUUGUGAAAUCUCCGAGCUUAACUCGGAAAGGUCAACUGAUACUGUGCGGCUAGAGUGCGGAAGGGGCAACUGGAAUUCUUGGUGUAGCGGUGAAAUGCGUAGAUAUCAAGAGGAACACCUGCGGCGAAGGCGGGUUGCUGGGCCGACACUGACGCUGAGGCGCGAAAGCCAGGGGAGCGAACGGG
rnacentral:rRNA from 1 species